AAGAAGAAUAGGGUUUGAAGUAUUCACUGAAGAAGAAUAGGGUUUGAAGUAUUCACUAUUUGAAGAAGAAGAAGAGACUAGUUUGUUUGCCUUCCAAAAUGAGAAGCAUGCCUCCUGGGGUGAGGAGGAUGCAAUCUUGAAUUUGACGAAUGAAGGUGACCCUAAAGAAGGUGAGGCCAACAACUCAUAAGAUUACCUGUACGAACGAAUUGAGAGAACUGCAGGAAGAAAUUUUUAUUCUCAUAGAACGAAUAUACAGUAUGGAAGAUGAAAUGACAAAUUUCAGAAAUAAAUUUACAAAAGAGUGGGAGUUUUCUGCAGUGCAAAAGGAAUUGGCCGCCCUCAAUACAAUUUUUACCACGCAAUGUUUCAGUGCCAGUAGAAAUGAAUUCUGUGUGCCGAGUUCCAAUUUUGGAAAUGGAAGAGACGAAUGAGCAGCUAGACAAGCGAACCCUGUUUGAAACACUUGAUCACGUCUGGCUGGACAAAGUAAUACAGAGUCAGCCGGUGAUGGAAGCUAUAGACGCUGAGAAAUUCGACGGGGCGGAGACGUUUCUAACCUUGCCACUGGACAUUCUGAUGAAUUUGUGGAUAAUGAUGUGGGUUUUUUUGCGUCCGGGGAAUAUGAUGCAGACCUUUACGAUAGAGAUGGUGAGUGCAUUUUGAGAAGGAAUCACGGACGAUUGUGAAUAUGGGGGAGUAUCGAUCCUCUGACGUUUGUGUUUCUAGUUCUUUGAACAGUCCUUGUGGUGUGAGCUCCAAUGACAGUAGAUAGGAGAAAAUGGGUGAUGAUGAGGAGCGAAUCAAGGAAAGCUUGCUGGCUGAAAAUCUAUUUCUUGUAAUGAUUGCCUUGGAGUGCGGUGUUCCAUUCCAGGUGGAGUGUGCACUGGAAGCUCUGCCCGAAGAGUAUCUUACUCUACUGGACGUAGAAAAGGGCAUAGAAAAGAUACAUGGUGAAUUGAAAACCGUUGUAUUGUUUCCGAAGAGUUCGGAGUACAGGAGUCAAGGGAAACCCUGCUGUAAGGCGAGCUAGCCCAUUCCCAUCGAGUCCCUGAGACCGUAUAUCGAGAGGUUGGAAGGGGAAGAGCCACCGAUGGAGUAUUCUGAGAGCUAUAUGUGUAUUACGUCCCAUGUAUCUAAAACCAUUACACGAAAGAUUUUUAAUGAUCCUGGAGAGGCCAAUGUAAGGAGCAGUUAAUGUUUCCAAUCGGCGUUUUUUGAGGCCUCCAGCUGCUGUUACUUAGACGCUCCAGUUUUACCCGAUGAAGAUUUUCUCAGCGUUUUCUUGGACGUUGUUUCUUGUAUGGAGAAGUUGCUCGGCAAUCCGGGACUUGAUGCCAUAUAAUGGUGAUCCUUUACAUAUUUUGUUAAGGGGGAGCGCAGUAAGAGGUGCAUGUAUUGUGCAUGCGUAUAAGGGUUCUGUGGAUGGAGGAGUGUUUCUUGAGUCUGCAGAAAGUGGUUCUCUUCAUCAUGGAUUAAUAUGCAAGUUUGUGCUUGCAAGAGUAAUAGGCACUGAUGUUUUUAAUUCCGAUUUGACUUGGAAAAGGCUUAUUCGUAGUGUUUGUGAGCAAAAUUUGGCAAAAUUGAAGUCUUUGAUGUGCCUGAUUGCAAUGUGAUGAAUUGGAAAUGCAGGAAUGUUGAGAGCAUGGCUGUGCCGGUUGGGUUUCAAGUGGGAGAUUGUUGGGAUGUGAAGCCCAACUGUCACGACCAUUCGUCUUCUCAAGACUCUUCACUUGAAGGCUCUAUAUGAUUAUAAAUACAUGAAUACAGUCCAUGCUUGAAGUGUUGUAUUUGACAUUAUUGAUUAAUAGAGAUUACUCCUUGCGUUUCUUGUCGACGUAGCCACUUAGUGUGAAACACAAACACGAAGUUCCAGGCUGUUGUGAAUAUACUUCUGAGUAUAUAUGUGUAAAGCUAUGCGAUGAUCUCCACAAGGAAGAAAGUGCCACAGCAAAUAAUUCUGGCAAAGCAGAUUUAAAUGCUGUAAAUGAGCAGCCAUGAGAAUAGAAGCACUUUCAGAAAUAUAACAAUAUGGCAUAUAGAAAGUU